CGAUCUGAAAACCAAAACUAAACCCAAUCACCACCAAUCGCCCGUCUCUCGAAGAGUGGCGAAAAAUGCCACAGAAAGUCGUGCACUGGCAAUAAUCAUCAUUUGGAGGAGGAAGAAAGGAUGGACCCCGUAACAGUGCCAGAGCCAGAGCCAGAGCCUGGGUCUGAUCCGGCAGCGUUUGCUCUUCUCUGACUCUAUUUUGUCGGCGAACAUGGAUCUAGUGCACGGUUGUUCAUGAUUAAGUUCGUGACUAGAUUUCAUGCUCGUCUAUUAAGUUGGGUCAACACAACGAACCGAAAGAGCAGAGCAACGCAGUUGUCGAAAAUUGCACUCCAGCCAGCAGUGCAGCCAGCACUCUCACUCCCACUCCCACUCCCAAUCGCUCUCCCCAGGAGAAACGCUGGGUUGGGUCUUGGGCAAUUAAAAGACGCAUUAAUUAUGGGAAACGUAUUCUCAUAUAUGACGGGAUUGGAUUCCGUAUUGCAUGAUUGACCCGUGACCCACAUAAUGGCACACGCCCCGCAGCAGCAGCAGCAGCAGCAGCGGUAGCGGUAGCAUGCAGCUUUCAAUGAGGGCGUGUAGUAAGUUGGACAAAACCAAAGAAGAAAUAAAAAGAGUCAAUGGCCUUUAACCGAUGACUGUUGUAACUCGCUGGCUCGGCGGCUCGGCUCACACGCCCCUCGAGCGCCCAGCAGCCCGCAUCUCGUGUCUUGUGGACAGUAGCUUGACGCUGGGAUCGGAUCGGUGAUUUGUGUGUGUUGAGUGCCUUUUUAUCGGGACGGGACUGUAACAGAGCAGAGUGGAGUGUCAGGCUGCAGCUAGUGACAGCCAGCAGCAGCAGCGCCAGCGGGCCACCAAUUUAUGGGCUAGUCGCACGCGAUUAAAAAUCGAAUGCGCACGGCCUGGGCCUGGGUUGACAAAAACAAAUGGAAACUGCAAUGCAAUGGAUUGCCUGUCGAGGAGUUGCUCGCUGCAGCUAAGCUAGCCCAGCGUGUGAAAAUCCAACAGGGCUGGCUGUGUUUGCCAAGGCUUUGGCGCCUGCGGGUACAGACAUAUCCAUCGAGUUGCAACCCCAGCUAAGAAGAGCAUUGAAUUGCAACGGCUGUGGCAGGGGAGGCUGAUGUCGUGGCGUGGCGUGGCCUGGCCUGGCUUUCCCUGUACUGCACUGAAUUUCCACUUCCUCCCUCCCAGCCAGCCAGGCAGCCGGUCGACAAUCAGGAACGACAAGAAGUCGCCAUGACACUGGCAGCCUCGUCAAACGCUGAAACUAAUUGAUAUAAUAGUUAAAAUAACAAACUAACAAGAAGACGUGGUGGCGGGAGAAGAGGCGAAAGAGGUUGCACCGCGACUGCAGUGCGGCGGCGUUGGUGAAGUGCAAAACCUUUCCAAUUUGAAAAUAGUUUUCCUGCUAUGUGUGCUCGUUCCCACAAACAGAAAUACCAACAACAGCGGCAGCGGCAGCAGCAGCAGCAGCAGCAGUCAGAACAAGCACAGCAACAAUGCCUGCACUUUACAACGACGCCAUUGGGGCAGAGGAGGAGAACAACUACAAGAAGCAGACGGGGACGGAGAAGAAGAAGGAGUAGCGGCAAGCGGUGGAUCGGAUCGGGAAAAGUAGAAGCACCAGCAAUCGGUGGAGCUGGAGUAGCAGAACCACCAGCAAACGAUGAUUGGGAAAAGGAAGGAGCCCCAGCAGCAGGGGGGACGGGGGGAUACAUACCCGUAGUCAGCAAAGAUGACAAUGCAGCGAUUAAAGCAAUGCAGAACGGAGAAGAGAUGCGCGAACAACUUGAACUCUAGUCGAUGUCGAUGUCGAUGCCGACAGCAACAGCAACAGCAGAAGCAGCUGGAAAAAUGUUUGCCCCAAUCCCAAUGCGCGGCAUUUCCGUUUACCAGCGGAGGAUGCGGCUGGGCUGCCGACGCUGAUGCACUUUGCAAUCGGCACUCCACUGUUCUGACCAACGGCCCGGACGGACGGGAAAGAAAAGAUAAUCACAUUUAUUAAAUCAAAAUACAAGAUGUUUGUAUGCACUUCCUAAAA
rnacentral:sRNA from 15 species